rnacentral:rRNA from 1 species
GCAAGUCGAGGGGUAACAGGAAAGAGCUUGCUUUUUCGCUGACGACCGGCGCACGGGUGCGUAACGCGUAUAGAAUCUGCCUCAUACUGAGGGAUAGCCUUUGGAAACGAAGAUUAAUACCUCAUAGUAUCAUUGAACGGCAUCGUUUGGUGAUUAAAGGUUACGGUAUGAGAUGACUAUGCGUCCUAUUAGCUUGAUGGUAAGGUAACGGCUUACCAUGGCUACGAUAGGUAGGGGCCCUGAGAGGGGGAUC